CCUACGGGAGGCAGCAGUGGGGAAUAUUGGGCAAUGGGCGCAAGCCUGACCCAGCAACGCCGCGUGAAGGACGAAGGCUUUCGGGUUGUAAACUUCUUUUCUCAGGGACGAAGAAAGUGACGGUACCUGAGGAAUAAGCCACGGCUAACUACGUGCCAGCAGCCGCGGUAAUACGUAGGUGGCAAGCGUUAUCCGGAUUUAUUGGGUGUACAGGGCGUGUAGGCGGGAGCGCAAGUCAGAUGUGAAAACUCAGGGCUUAACCCUGAGCCUGCAUUUGAAACUGUGUUUCUUGAGUGCUGGAGAGGCAAUCGGAAUUCCGGGUGUAGCGGUGAAAUGCGUAGAUAUACGGAGGAACACCAGUGGCGAAGGCGGAUUGCUGGACAGUAACUGACGCUGAGGCGCGAAAGCGUGGGGAGCAAACAGGAUUAGAUACCCCUGUAGUC
rnacentral:rRNA from 1 species